CUCAGAGGCAGGAAAUACUUUCCAGGCAAUCUGGGCCUGCUUGUGGAGGCCCCUUUCGCAAAACAUCAGUCUGAAUUUAGUAGACAGAAGUCACUAGGAACGCCUUGACAGGAUCCGGCUUUAGCUGACGCUCCAGCUGUGGAGGGUGUUUUUGUUAGAAUCACACACUGCGUAAAACUGCUUAGAAUAGAGCCAUGAUCUCAACCACGAAAUGUGAACUUAUAUUUUGGAGAAGCUAACGGGACGGACUUCUUUCCUAGCCUGACUUUUGCACGGUGUCAUGCCUUGGAGUUGCAGCUCCUCCUUGUCUAGGUGGUGAAAUGACAAAGCUCACUCUCUUCUUUGCUCCAUGAAUUUGAAAUAAUUUUUCAUCAAGUUCCAUCUCCUUUAGCCUCAUAUGGAAUGUAUCUCUCUCUCUGUUGUUAAACUAUGAUGACAUGUCUGUAGCUAUCAGAAAGAGAAGCUGGGAAGAGCAUGUGACUCAAUGGAUGGGACAACCUUUUAAUUCUGAUGAUUAUAACACAGCAUGUCAUCAUGGACUCAUAACCGACAGCUUGCAGGCAAGUAUGGAAAAAGAUGCAACUCCAAAUGUGGACCGCAAAGAGAAGUGUAUUUCACUACCAGACUGCUGUCAUGGAUCAGAGAUGAGAGAUUUUCUUGGGAGGCCAAUGGGUCACAUUUCAAAGGAAGUGGAUGAAAAUGACAGUCAUGAAGGUGAUGAUCAGUUUCUUUCUCUGGAAGCCAGCACAGAAACACUCGUGCAUAUUUCUGAUGAUGAUACAGAUUCUGAUCUAUAUCUUACAGGUGACAAACAGAUUUUAACUACCAAUGGGUGUAAAAUAUCAGGCCAACACAGUGUUGACGAAGCAGGCUCCUUAGCAAAAGCAGUGCCUAGUACGGAAAGUAACCAAGACAGUUAUAACUCCUGGGGAAAGGCUGGUGAAGCUAACUUAGCACUGGUGGAAGAAAGUGGGGAAAGAAAAGUUGUUGAUACUAUAAGUAAAAGCCCGGAGCUUUGUAAUGAUAUAAGCUUAAGUGAAAUAGAAGAUGUACGCAAAGUGAAUACAUUUGAUUCUUUUAAUGUGCAAGACAUUGUACCUGAGAAACAGUUGCUUAAUUCUGCUGUAAUUGCACAACAACGAAGGAAACCUGACUUGCCUAAAGAUGAAUAUGAAGGAAACAGCCACCAUGUAAUACAAAAUGAACUCUUCACUGUUCCUUGUGCAGACAGAGGACUACCAUUAUUAAAAGCAGAUUGUGGAAGCUGCCUUCUGCAGCCUUCUUCCUGCCCCAGUGGAAUGUCAGCUGAAAAUGGCCUGGAGAAGAGUGGUUUCUCAGAACAUCAAAACAAAAGUCUUCCCGAGGUCAAAGCAGAAGGUGGCAUGCAGUGUUUAUACUUAAAGGACUCUCUGACCACCCAGGAGCUCACAGAGAGCCAAGUCAGAUUGCGCAAGAAAAAGGUAAGAUGCAUACACAGAUCAUCUGGCUCUGGAAAUUUUGUAAAUAUCCUUCUUUACAUUACUUACUAUUUUGCUUGAACUAAAAAGAUAUGUAGAUGUUUCUUUUGCUCUGUAAUGCAGCUGCAUGACCUAAAUAUGAUCUACCUGGUGAGACCAUCAAAAUAUUCAAAAACUGAAACAUAAUAAUAGUUCUGUUUCACUAACGGCCUUUAUGAUGGCUU